rnacentral:tmRNA from 1 species
AAACGCAGAAGAAAAUUUUGCAUUAGCUGCAUAAGCUACGUCCCUCAUACUUGUGCCUACCAAGUGUGAAUGGACGUCAAACCGUAGGCUGGCUUAAUUUAGUUGUUCAUAUGAAUUAGGCGAGACAAUAUGAACUGGGGUUGUGUAGCUUGUCUGUGAGCGAUAGCAACCUGAGAUCUAAAUCAUAGACUGUGCUCGGAGAAGUCUAUAUGGCAACACUUCUGGACAGGGGUUCGACUCCCCUCAUCUCCACCA